UACAGAGGGUGCAAACGUUGUUCGGAAUUACUGGGCGUAAAGCGCGUGUAGGCGGCUCGGAAAGUCGGGUGUGAAAGCCCUGGGCUUAACCCAGGAAGUGCACUCGAAACUUCCGAGCUGGAGUCCUGGAGAGGAAGGCGGAAUUCUCGGUGUAGAGGUGAAAUUCGUAGAUAUCGAGAGGAACACCGGUGGCGAAGGCGGCCUUCUGGACAGUGACUGACGCUGAGACGCGAAAGCGUGGGGAGCAAACGGG
rnacentral:rRNA from 1 species